ensembl:misc_RNA Metazoa_SRP Metazoan signal recognition particle RNA
GCCUGACGCGGUGGCGUGUGCCUGUAGCCCCAGCUACUCCAGAGGCUGAGGUGGGAGGAUCGCUUGAGCCCAGGAGUUCUGGGCUGCAGUGCGCUAUGCCUAUCGGGUGUAGGCAGUAAGUUCGGCAUCAACAUGGUGACCUCCCAGGAGCGGGGGACCACCAGGUUGCCUAAGGAGGGGUGAACCAGCCUAGGUCGGAAACAGAGCAGGUCAAAACUCCGGUGCUGAUCAGUGGUGGGAUCACGCCUGUCAAUAGCCGCUGUACUCCAGCCUGGGCAACAUAGCGAGACCCCGUCUCUA